rnacentral:misc_RNA from 1 species
CAUUUAGAUACAGAUCAGAAUUCAGCCAUAGUGGUCAUGAAAGAGGAAAUGUGAGAGCUCCAAAGAGUUUGAUUGAAGAUGAAGCCGAACUCAGUGACUGGGUCAAUGAUUUGAGAACCAGUUCUUUCCUUCGUGAACAACUCGCUAGCGAAGACGAGUCAGAUUAUGGUAUAGCUCGUAAUAGAGGUAAGAGUGGCACAGAUAGGGAUAGGAAUUGGAACGGAGGUAGUAGUAGAGGAAGG